rnacentral:lncRNA from 1 species
UUCCCGGGCGGCACAUAGCCGAGUCCCUCCUCCCCUCCCCACAGACAGCCUGUGCCUUUUCUCCAAACGAAGACAGCACUUUGAAAAUUCUUUCAAUGGAUUUUUUUUCCUUGAAAGAUCGUACUGGGAGAAAAUGAUACUUCUAUUAGUUACAUAUUCUCCAAUCCCACACUCGCACCCCCCUCGUUUUGAGAUCGCUCCCCUAGGCAGGCUCAGGCGGGCGCGGAGCGCAGCGGAGUGACAAAGCCGGCGUUGCUGCCGCCAGGGGUGGGAGCCGCGCUUUCCCGCCCACCCCUCGACUGGGGAGAGCGUAAAAGUUUGACUCAGCUCGAGCGUUCCGAGUUCCAACAGGCCCUCAGGUAAAGGUGGAAGUAAAUGACCACGCUGUGUUGACAGAGGUAGGGUUUGUUUUUUAAUACUCGUUCUCACUUUAAAUUUCACCAGGGAGGGGUUUGGGAAGCACUGCGCGUUUGGGGUACGUUUUGCGCUUCUCGGUCUCUCUAGUCUGUGAAGUCGCGAGUCGUAGACCGUUUAGUGACGAGUGAUGAUUUUAAAGAGCAGAAUAAAGGCUUUCUCCUGUCUGCCCCGCAGCCCCUCCAGCUCGAAUAAUGGAAAGACUGCCAAGGCACUCCGCUUGCGGCAGCCCAUUGUACGAAGCUGAGGAAGAGGAGGCGACUGGGGGUGGCAGGGGCUCCUUGCCCUAGCCCCUUUGCCCAAAUAAAUGUGUUCCUGUUCUUGGCCAGUUAAAAGAUGAAACGAACCUGAUUCAAAUAGACCGAAAAAUGAAAGAAAGAAGGAAAAAAAGGAGGAAAUAAGGGAAGAGUGAAAAAAAGAAAGAAAAAUAUGUAGAAAUUUAAAUUAAAUCCCCAUCCAGUUAGAGGCAGGGAGUUCGAGAGCAGAGAGAGCAGGCAUAGAGAGGGAGACUGUAAGAGGGAAAGAGAACGCGGAGAAAAGGAGAAAGUGGGAGAGGAAGCGGGAGUCAGCGCCAGGGAAGCGGAGGCCUGCUGGACGCCGGGUCCGCAGGCCCAGUCGCGCUCGAACCCUGGACUGUGCGUCGUGGGCACCAGAAGCGAGAUUCGGCCAAGUCCUACCCCAUCAGGCAAGUAACGCAAUGAUUAUCAUUUCUUUUGAACUUGGGAUUGGUAACACGGUCAGGCAGGGAGGCAGUCUUGGUUCUCACGCAGGCGGGGGACACGAGUCGAG